UUUAAAACACAGUAGGCUUUUAAGCUUAAGCCAGAGUGAAUGGUAAAGGAAAUACCAUCCAUGUGGUGAAACAUCAUCCCAAACGCCCUGCAACAUUUACUAACUCACUGGCUCUGUGAACUCAUUAUUGUUGCUAGAUCUGCCAUUAAUUUUCAAGUCCAUGUUUUGGAGAGAAAACGCAUUUACACAAUUACAAGAUUUUCAGUAAACCUUUGGGAAACUGCCGUGGUCUGGUCACAUCUCUGCUGUGAGGUUGCUUUUGUCUUCUGAGACCUGAGUUUACAGGAAUCACUGGUUCAAGAGAGAGUGGGACCCUGAGAGAGCAGAACUUGCUGAAGGAGCUUGAUGCACAGGAGAGCGAGCUCUCUGAAGAGCAGAGGGUCAUCUUGCUUCAAGUUCCAGAAGAACAUGUUUCCUCCCAUGGAAGUGAACUAAAGAGCACCAUCCAGAAGAAAUCAGGACUCAUUGGUGGGAGGUUCCAGGGCUCAAAGACAUUUGGCAGCAUUGUCAAUAAAGACGUUCAAGUCAGAAGACUA